AUGUUUUUUUAAAAAUAGCAUAAAAAGAUAAGUGAUUUUUAAUAAAAUUUAUUUUAAAAUAACAGUACUCUCAACGAAGCCAAUAACGCCUGUCUCGAACAUGACGUCACAGCAAAGGGGUGGAAUGAGGAGGAUGCGCAAUAGCACACCUUGUGUAUUUCCACCAUGGGUUCACAUACUACAGCCAGUGCGCCAGUCGCGCGCCGCUACCAUGCCCCGCCAAACACGCGCCAAUGAUAACCUUGGUGUGGUUCACAUAUCGGCCCGCCUAUUUGGAGGAAGCCAAUCAUGGACGGCCAUGCGUACGCACCGAUUAACCAAUGACAA
rnacentral:lncRNA from 1 species